rnacentral:lncRNA from 1 species
CUAAAUUCAACAUUUAAAGCUUAAAAUUGAAAGCUUACUGUGAAAUUUAGAACUUAGAAUUUAAAAUGGAUUAAUUUUAAAUAUAAAAUUUGAAUAUGAAUUUCGAUGCUAGUCGAAACUUAAAUUUGAAAUUUGAAUCCACAGCUAUAAUCAGAUUUUAAGAAGUCGGUAUUGGCUGCUUCUGAUUUUGGGGCCUCUAAAAUCAGAAAUCUGAUUCUAAAAAUAAGAAUAAGAUUUUACAAUACAGGAUACCAAAUGCUUUAUUGAAGGAAAAAUCACUUUUGGCCCUAAAAUACUUUCUAAAAGCUAAGCGAAACACCCCCUAUAUAAAGGACACAUUUGUAAGGAUUUCGUUGAGUAUUUUACACAAUUCAGAAUAUAAGAAUAUCUGAUUCGACGUGGAAGAAGUUUGUUCGAGGCCUUCAAUAGCAAAUUCUUUUUCUUUUUUUUUUUUCCUUUUUCAAUAUUUUACUCUGUCCUUUGUUUUUCUUGUCUCUUUGGUUAAUCUAUGAAAAUUCCUUUAUUAAUCAGCUAGUGCCAACGUUGGUAGAUUUUUAACAUCUAAAUGGAAUACAAGGCCUCUUCUUAUGCAUGUUGAGACAAAAUCUGUAGCACUAAUAGUGGUCAUAGUAUCAUUCUGUUUCAUAAUCUACAUAAAUCUGCUUAGAAGUUUUUUGUGUGUCCACUAUUAGUUAAUUUCAUAUAUUAGAACAAUUUGGUAUUAUAUGCUUAGGUUUCACUCAAUGUCAUGACAUUGUUCAAAAAACUUUGCCGGCUUGUAAGAGUUCUUGUCUAUAGGAUUCGGCGAACUGCAAGCUCUGGUACUGCUUGUUUGGCAUGAGUAAUUUAACGUUGUGGGGAUGGGAACAAAAAAUAAGGUUUCUAUUCUGUCUUGGAUGUAUAUUGGAUCAGCAAGGGGAACUAUACUGCUAUUAUUAUCUAUUGAAAGCAUUCUUGAGAGUGCCGCUUCUUAUAAACAACCAAUCCACCUGGAGGGAGUGUAGUUUGCAGGUUAUCCACCAACUAUUGACAUUUAUUAGUUGAACUUAUGCUUCUUAUAUUAAAAGAAGAUUCAACAUCGGUAGCAUCAUAGAGUAUUCACUUAGAGGAAUGUGGAAUAAGUGACUUAAAUAGGUAAAUUACAUACGACAUCAAGAAUCAUCUGAUGGUUGUACAUCCGAAGGUUGUACAGUUCCAUAUAUGAAGAAUUAGCCUUCUUGUAUUGUCUAAUUCAGGCUGAAGAUUGUAAACAUAUCUUCCGCAUGAAUGUAUUCAGUAGCAGGUCACUGGUUGUGUAAAUAAGUUAAACCUCUAAGCUUAUGCUGAAUCCAAUUCAUGAUUGUGUGAUUCGGUGGUAAAAUGAUGCUAUUUCAUGAGUAUGAUGAUUAAAAAAGAAAAAAAACAAAGGGUCUAUUGCGUAUGUAGUUUCAGCCAAAACUCUGAAAUCAAAACUGAAAUAUUUUGGUUUAGGGUAAAUUGCACUAUUACCCUUUGAUGGUUGAGUUUUACUUUACCCCCUCAACUUUUAACAUGGACAUCUAACACUCUAAUCUCUAAUAUUUCAUUCAUGUCGACCUUCCGUCAGUUUUCCGUCAACCUCUGUUAAUUGAAAAUUGAUGGAAGGGGUAACACGAAUGAAAUAUUAGAGUUUUAGGAUGUUAGAUGUCCAUUUUAGAAGGUUUUUAUUUUUGUUUUGGGGAGGGGGGGGGGUCGGUGUAAACUGAAACUUUGCUAGAAGUUCAGGGGGUGACAGUGCAAUUUACCCACGUAGAACUCUUGACUAUAAAUUAUUUCAUUAGAAUAGGUUAUUUAUGGAUUGACUAUUGACCCUCGAGUUAGUGAUCAUGUGGGGUUUUGAAUUUAUAUUUUUUUAUCCUAAAAUAAGUCAUACCAUAAAUUACCCUACAUUUUAUCGCAAUAAAAUAAAAGCGAAAGAAAUGAAUUAGAGUGGCUUAAAGAUAAAAGAAGAGACACUAACUAGCUAUAAUGUCUCUCCUGAUGUACUCGCAAAUGCGGUUGAUUCACAAUAAGUAUCCUCACUCCGAUAUAGAGAUUUUAAUUUUUAGUUAAUUCUGUGGUACUAGUUUGUCGUCUUUAUCUCUAGAAUCAUUGUUCUAGAAAAUGCACUUAUUCCCUAAGAAACUAUGCAGCGUAAGUUUAUUAAAAUAAAAUUUAUGUGCUUCUUUUUAGCCAAUUAGAAAUUUUCAAUAUAAAAAUAUAAAAUACUAUUUUAUAAUAAAUUAAAUUUUUAAAAAUAAAUUAGUGAUAUUAGAUAAAGAUAUACUGAAUAUCAUCUUAUCCUUCAAAUAUUGGCAGCGCAUCCUGCAAAAGCCGUUCAAUUUAUUUGUUUUUUCUCUUUUUAUUUUUUUAGUAUCUUUUUUUUGAACCAUCCUUUUGACACAAUUAAAUAUUUUUUGUAAAAACAACCAAAUAUUUUCCGAGGGGUAUCUGUCACGCCCUGGAUUACACGUUUCCCCAGGCACGCCAACAGACCCACCGUAUAUGAAGGAAUUUUCCCCGUAUACGAAGCGAAACAGUGGUAGUACCUGUAAACAUACACACUACAACCAGUAGUAAAGAGCUGCUAGAAUAAAAACAGGUUUGAAUGUAAACAAGUUCCAUAUACAUAUAUAGCAUCCAGGUACAAAAGUACUCGCCCCAGCGAGAUAUAAUAUCUGUAUGUACAUGAACUCAAAAAUAAAAGUACAACUACCUGCAGAAGGUACUCUAGCUCUGGCUCGUCUGGAAGGGCUCUAACUCGCGAUGCCUUUGCCCCGAUCCGAAUCAGCAACAGCAGCAGCCGACGGCGACGGCUCUGCAAAAACAGUGGUAACAACUGGGCGUUAGAACUACUGUAAAAGCAAGUAGUCUUCAGUGGGUACCGCCCUCAAAAUCAUCGGUUCACACACCAAGUCUACAGAAGGAAGUAGGGAUAGUAGGAAAAGCUGGAAUAAAUCUACAGCUAAAUGCCCCUACACUAUCAUGCUCGAACACUAACAAUCUGUAGUAAAUGUUAAUCCUGACCCAAUCUCACUAGGGACUGUAAACAUACCCGUCGCAGGGACUGUGAACACACCCGUCCCGCCUGUCGAAGCUAAAGCUACCUCCACACUAACCAGUCUGUGAAUAGCAAGUCCAAUCAGGACACAUCGACACCAAUCCAAAAGCACUAAGCCCGACUCUGAAGUGGCACUCGUGGGCCCUACCCAACCGAGUAUGCAAGCGUGUCUCUGUCGAACUCAAUUAGGCUCUCACAGGCUAAAGUCAAGUAAGCAGGGUCCAACUGAUCUAACCACCAAUAAGUCACGUGCCCUCGGCACAAUCUGAUGCCGAAACGGCGAUCUGGGUCCACCGUUAACCCCGACGGUACCCAACAGUCCGUAAUAGUCUGAACGCUACUGUAAAAAUAAGCUCGGCACCCCAGCACGAGCGUAACAGCAUUUGAAACUACCCUUGGUAGCCACCACGCUGAAACUGCGGCGAUACAAAAUAACAACGGCUCCUAGAGCUAAAUCAUGUAGUUUAAGCAUGUGACAGGUAAUAAUUGCAGGUUUUCUCCUAAGUCAUAUCCAAGUCCAACAUGUGCAAAUAUAUAGUCACAGUACUAAUCUCCAAUUCAGAUUUCAUAGGUAACUAUGCCAAAUCCAUGAACCGAGCAAUUUCUAUAAGCGAAACAACACAACAACACAUGUCGACAAUCUAGAUACUUAGAAGGUAAACCGACGAUUAACCUACCUCAAAAGCUACUCCCAAUCCGGCGCGACGUCGAGAACGGCGGAAUCACACUCUCGCCCAGCCUCCUUGCGACGCUACCACAACGAACGCGCGCUCUAACGGCACCGUGGCGCUACGUCGGCGACGAUCCGACUCCACCCGAGAGCUCCUCCACGUAUUGUCCAAGCUAGAGAGAGAGAGAGGAGAAGAAGAAUAGUAAGAAGCUCCCUCUCAGCUCUCUUCUACAUGUAUAUAGCAAUGCGGGAGGAGGCUGACACGUACGAGAUAUGGAAAGACCAAAAUGUCCUCUCACCUACCCUCGUGUACUGGUACAACAUCGAUGUUGUACCGGUACACGUAGUAGAUAUGGCAAACCGGAGAGCAGCUGCGCAGAAACAGGCGCAAUGUACCGGUACACCUCUGAUGUUGUACCGGUACAACAAGCAGAAAAUCCUACAUUUGUAGGUUUUUGUGCUAACCUCCUGCUCUCGUGUCGCACUGAGUCCGUUUUGCGUCUAAUUCACGCCAACGCGACUCGGACUUGUCCGACACUCUCCAGAGAUGUUGACAAGCCCCAACUGCUGAACUCCAGGGACACCACAAUAUUGCACUGUUACCCCUGAACUUUUGGUGGAGUUUUACUUUACCUCCCAAACUCUUAAAAUGGACAUCCAACACCCUAAACUCUAAUAUUCAUUCAUGUUACGUUAUGUUACAUGGAUACGGAUACGGGGAUACGCAUACGGUAUGAUACGGAUAUGGUGAUAUGACAAUUCCUAAAACGUCUAGUCUGCGUUUGGUUCAGAUAUAAGUAAGAACUGUUUAUCCCAGGGAUAGUUACAAGUUCAAGUAUAUGCAGGAAUUAGACCAAUUUUGCAUUUGGAAGAAAAUUGGGUGUUCUUGGGAAUAAGGUAAUAGUGUUUGGAUAGUUAGGUUGGAACAGGAGGAAUUGGAGUUAUAAUUUUAAAUUAAAAAUAUUUUAUCUAAUUAAUUAACAUCAAAAUAUUAAUUAAAAAUAAUUUAGUAAAUUAAUAAAUUUAUUAGCUAUGAAUAUUGUAUAAGAUAAUGAAAAUAUAUGUUAAUUAAUUAAUUAAAUAUAAAAAAUAAUUUAAAAUUUUAAUUAGUUAGUAAAUUAUUUUAGUUAGAUAACUAGUAAAAAAAAUUAACUAGAUUAAUAAAAAUAUUAAUGGUUGAUCAAUAUAAAUAUUAGUUUAUAGAUAAGCACAUUAAAUUAUUAUUUUUAUUAAUGGUUGAUCAAUAUAUAUAUUAGUUUAUGGAUGAACACAUUAAAUUAUUAAAAAUUAAUUAGCUAAUUAAUUAUAAGUAAUAAAUUAAGUAAUUACUUUAUUAUUUAAGCAAUGGAUAAUGAUUUAAUAUAUUAAUUAGAUUAAUUAGUGAUUUAAUGCCAUAAUUAAAAUUAAAUUUAGACUUCACUUGUUCCCACUUGGGAACAAGCUUGUUCUAGGAAAAAGGGUGGAACAACAGUUCCAGGUUUAUACUAGGUUAUAUUGGCUUAUUCUAGGGACUCGAGAACUAUUCUCGGGUACGAAAAUUUGUGUUUGGGAAUAAAAGGGGGAACAAGUGCUUAUUUCCCCUUUUUUUCUCGAAACAAAUGUUGCACUAGGAUAUGAUACGCGGGUGUACUUGAAUAAAACAUUAUUUUAAAUAUAUUUAAAUAUAUGCUGAUUAUAUAUAAUGAUAUAUUGAGGAUAAUUAGGAUAUCUGGAUUAUAUUAGGGAAUAUAUUAUAAUAUAUAUAAACUUGUGUAAUUGUUUUGCAUCCGUUCAUAAAAGAAAAAAUAAUCAAUUGUAUGUAACAAUAAUUCAAAAAGUAUCAAUCAACUAUCAUCCAACUUGAUCAAAUGAUAACGAUAGAUAUUUAGUCGUACAAACUAGAUAAUUAGCCAUUCAACAUAUAUGUCUGUUUUAUUAGGUUUUAUAAUUAAAACAACAAUACAAGAAAAUAUGCUGAUAAUUUAAUAGAAGAAGAAAAUGAAUCAUUAUCUAUAUUCUUUAUUGCUUAGUGCUCGAUUGACAAAUUAGAUGAAAGAGAAUAAAAGAGAAGCAAUAAAGGACUGAACCGUGGCUUGAUGUUGUGUGGAGAUAGAACAAGAGGAAGCACCUUCAACCAUUCAAGAGAAAAAAUAUAUUGAAGAAAUGACAAAUUGAAUAGAGAUUGGCAUUUUUCUCUCUUUUUCUUAUUUCCAAUAGUUUUGAAUAUGGGCUUUUUGAAAAAUUUUAAGUUUCGAUCAUUUUAGACCAAAAAAGAAUCUGGCUGUAUCAACCCCGUAUCCAAUUGUGACACCCCAAUAGUUCCACAUCGGAUAGUUAUGCCUAGAUGUAGGAAUAUAAAAGCUUAAUUGGGUUAGACAUAAUAAUUGGGCUUAAUCAUUUUGGGCUGGUUGUUUAGGCCCAACGAGUUAUUAUUGAUAGCAGGUCGGGUCGUUACAUUUGGUAUCAGAGCCAGUUCACCAGCCGAAAGUGUGAGAUGAGUCUUGGUUGAGUCAGGGUUGGAAUGACAGACUAAACCAGGGUCGGUGAUUGACAGGCUAAGUUAGAGUCGGAAUGACAAAGGCUAGCGAGACAAGUCUCACAUCGCCUGGUGAUCUUGGGCUGUGUGUGUGUUUAGGGCUGACGAGGACGCCAGGGCCUAAAUAGGGGGAGUCUGUGACACCUCUAGAAUCUCACAUCGUCUGGUAAUUCUGAUCCUAGUCUAUCUAUCUGUGAUCUGGUUUGGACCCGACGAGGACGUCAGGGUCUAAACAGGCAGAGUUUGUAACGCCUUUAACUGGGCUUAAACAUUUUGGGCCGGUGGUUGGGCCCAACGAGUUAUUAUUGUUAGUAGGUCGAGUCGUUACAUUUGGUAUCUGAGCUAGUUCACCAACCGGAAGUGUGAGGUGAGUCUUGGCUGAGCUAGGGUCGGAAUGACAGAUUAACCAGGGUCAGUGAUUGACAGGCUAAGUCAGAGUCAGAAUGACAAAGGCUAGCGAGACAAGUCUAACAUCGUCUGGUGAUUUUGGGCUGUAUGUGUGUUUAGGGCUGACGAGUACGUUAGGGCCUAAAUGGGGGGAGUUUGUGACACCCCAAUAGUCCCACAUCGGAUAGUUAUGACUAGAUGUAAGAAUAUAUAAGCUUAAUUGGGCUAGAUAUAAUAACAGUGCUUAAGCAUUUUGGGUUGGUGGUUUAGGCUCAACGAAUUAUUAUUGCUAGCGGGUCGGGUCGUUACACCAACACCCGUAUCUCUCCCGUAUCCAAGCUGUAUUUGGAAUUUUUUUUUUUUUUUUCAGAAAUGCCGGAUACUUCAUUCCUGUAUCGGACACGUAUCGGGCGUGUAUCGGGUACAUAUCGGUAUCCGACAUGUAUCCGAUACAGGUACAACAUGAAAGUUGAAGUAUCUGUGCUUCAUAGAUGUUAUCGCUUACCCCUUAACGAAGUUUGACGGGAAACUGACGGAGGGGGUAACCUGACUGAAAUAUCAGAGUUAAGGGUGUUAGAUGUUUCAUUUUAGAAGUUUGGGGAGUAAAAUUCUGCCAAAAGUUUAAGGGGCAACAAUGCAAUUUACCCGUUUGGUUGAACCAAGAAACUUUGAUUUCAGUUAUAAUGUGCCUAAGGAAGGCAGAGAAUUUCAUUCUAAAAUAAAUUUGUGAUUAAAUCAACUUGUAGGACUAGGAUCUAACAUUAGAAAUUUUUUAAGUUGUACUGAUAUAUUAUUAUAUUUUUGUUUCAACAAUAAAUGG